UACUUUUUCUGUUUUUAGGCAGCAAGAAUGAAGCAAGAGAUAGCAAACAGCUGGUUAUGCAAACCGAGGAGGAGGCUCUUCCACGUCAGAGAAAUCCCAAUCCCAGUCUCAGCAUUCCAGUGUUAGCUUUCCCGAUGCUGGAGAGUGAGGACUGGAGACACCCCUGGAGGAUCAAAGCUACCUCACUCACAGGUUUGAACUGUUACCCAGGAAGAAGUUUUAACAGCAGAUACCCACUGCUAUCAAACAGAAGUGACAAAUGAGAAAAAGGAGAGAGAGCAUCCAGCCAAAUGCAGAUGAGAAUAACAGCGAACAAUUUCUUUCUGUGAGAG